GACGAACGCUGGCGGCGUGCUUAACACAUGCAAGUCGAACGGUGACCUAUCAGCUUGCUGGUGGUGAUCAGUGGCGAACGGGUGAGUAACACGUGAGUAACCUGCCCCUGACUCUGGAAUAACCCCGGGAAACCGGGGCUAAUACCGGAUACGACACCCAUCCGCAUGGGUAUGGUGUGGAAAGUUUUUUCGGUUGGGGAUGGGCUCGCGGCCUAUCAGCUUGUUGGUGAGGUAGUGGAUCACCAAGGCGACGACGGGUAGCCGGCCUGAGAGGGCGACCGGCCACACUGGGACUGAGACACGGCCCAGACUCCUACGGGAGGCAGCAGUGGGGAAUAUUGCACAAUGGGCGGAAGCCUGAUGCAGCGACGCCGCGUGAGAGAUGACGGCCUUCGGGUUGUAAACCUCUUUCAGCUCUGAAGAAGCGAAAGUGACGGUAGGAGCAGAAGAAGCACCGGCUAACUACGUGCCAGCCGCCGCAGUAAUAC
rnacentral:rRNA from 1 species